ACAUAAAUAACCUCCUGCCGCAGAAGGGCGGAAUGCUGACAUGGCAAACGGCCACCCGGCCGGGAGAGACAGCCGGCAAUCGUUGGAUCUUUUACAUUUAGCCUCUUUCCUCUCUGUAAGGGCGGCAAGGGGUAAAUGCAAAAUGGUCGGAAACUUUUUAUCAUUGAACCACCCAUAUAUGUAUAACAUGUAUUUAUUUGAUCACAAGCACUCUCUUACCUUAGUGGUUAUCAAUAUGCUAAUAUGAGGAUUUGAUCUCUAGUCUCUAUAAUAGAAGAGUGUUCUUGCCUUAGUGGUUAUCAAUAUGCUAAUAUGAGGAUUCGAUCUCUAGUCUCUAGAAUAGAAGAGUGUAGCAGUGACCACUGAGCCAAGAGAGCAUUUGU
rnacentral:lncRNA from 1 species